GUCGUGCUGAUAUGCACAUAGUCAUCGCAAGACAUAGGUGCACUGAUGAUGGCGUGAUACGCCGAAAUCAGCAUUGUUUUGUCCUGUUGUUCGUCCGCAUUAUGAUUGUAAACGGUAAAACGUUUCGUCACGAAUCCAAAAGAAAAUGUUUUUUAG